rnacentral:lncRNA from 1 species
UCACAAUUUUGCACUCAAUGCAACUUUUGAUGAAAUUGAUCAUACAAGCUAUGAUGGGCUGUGGUUACCGGGAGGAAGGGCGCCGGAGUAUCUUGCACACAUUCCUAGUGUUGUGGAGCUAGUUGCUAAGUUUGUCAAAUCUGGAAAAGAAAUUGCUUGCAUUUGUCAUGGACAUUUGAUUCUGGCAGCUGCUGGUGUAGUUGAAGGUCGUACGUGCACAGCUUAUCCUCCUGUCAAACCAGUAUUGAUUGCUGCUGGCGCUCAUUGGGUUGAACCUGACACCAUGUCAACAACUGUGGUGGAUGGUAAUCUCAUUACCGCACCUACUUAUGAAGGGCACCCUGAACUUCUUCGCCAUUUUGUCAAGGCAUUAGGAGGCAAAAUAAGUGGUUCUGAUAAGAAAAUCCUCUUUAUUUGUGGGGUACGUUCAAAUGUUUUUCUUGUUUCUUGUAGUUGAAAAUCACGGGCUGGGAUAUUGCUCACUUAACUUCUUUUGAUAUGACUAGUUGUAGAAAUUAAAUUUUCAGGCAUAGAGUUUAUGGCUAUUUACUAAUAUAAGUACCAGGGUUUUUUGUUUCCUUUUAAACUUGAUGUAAAAUUAUCUUCUCGCACUAUACUAUACCUUCAAGUAAUGCCAUUAUACCACUUAAUUUAUGUAGGUUACUUGCUACUAUCUCUACACUAAUAUCUGCGUAGCACUGACACUUAAGAUUGAAGGUGUAUCCGACACAUGUGAGUGUGAGUGUCUGAUACGAUACUGACACUUAUGAAAUCGCUCCUAUUUUCUCAAAGAUUACCGUUGUCUACGUGUCAAUGCUUCAUAACUAACAUUUAAUAGCUUUAAAAUAGUUAGAGUGGGAAACUAUACUUGGCAUUUUGUAUACACUUCAACAAUUAUUAGUUACAUUAAAAUAAUUAAGUGGGAGACAAUCGCGGCCCAGUGGCCUACGGAUAAUUCAUACUUCAAUAUUAUAGUAAAUGAGGAAUGUCAUGCACCUAGUGUAAGCAAUAAUUUCUUUUGUUUUUAUGUUCUUUCGUAAAUCAUUUUACCUUUAUUGCUAUGCUGGUUGAUGAGACGUGUUUUGACAAUUUUUAAUCACAGGAUUACAUGGAAGAUUAUGAGGUCAAGGUUCCUUUUCAGUCUCUUCAGGCUUUAGGAUGCCACGUUGAUGCAGUUUGCCCCUCAAAGAAGGCCGGUGACACUUGCCCAACUGCUGUUCAUGAUUUUGAAGGAGAUCAAACUUACAGUGAGAAGCCAGGACACAAUUUUGCUUUAACUGCGAACUUUGAUGAUGUCAAUGCUUCAGGCUAUGAUGCUCUUGUCAUCCCUGGAGGCCGAUCACCCGAGUACUUGUCAUUGAAUGAGUCUGUUAUUUCCUUGGUGAAGCAUUUCAUGGAAAGCAAUAAGCCAGUUGCAUCAAUCUGUCACGGUCAACAGAUUUUAGCUGCCGCUGGUGUUCUCAAGGUAUCAUUACUGCAAACUCAUUAGAGACACCGUUUUUGUUAUUUCACGCUAGUUAUUAACCAGCAUUUGAAUUGAGUAGCUAUUAAUAUUCUUGAACUCUUGUUCAAUCUACACCUUUUCUUUUGGAUCGUUGGGUUACAAUGUUGUAACUAGCAAGGCUGAACAAGUAUGAAGUUAUAACUGACAGGGAUACAAAUGCAAUAAUUUUUCCUUAAAUAACUCAUGCAGUGUGUUAGUGUUGUUAUAGAUUUAUACUUCUGGUCUAAACUGUCAUAAUGUCAUUACUUUCUUGAUGCUUUAGGCGCACGCCCUUAGUUUCCAUCCUCUUUUGGGAAGAUAUAAUGUUUAUGACUUUUGAGUCUGGUCUUUGUGUGUGCUGAACAAAUUAAUUAAGCAAUUCUUGUACAAGUUGUUCUUGUGUCCUUCUUUGCCACAAUUACUGUUAUACUUAGUGGACAAGUUGCUCGUGAAUCUGUCAUCCUUUCUUCUGUCCACAUCUUCAUUCUAGAGUUGCUUGUUCUUCUGUGACAUGUUGGUAGAGAGACACACAGCAUGCAUGGAUUGAGAAUCACAACAUAUGUGAUAUAUUGUAAUCAUGAAAUGCUAACAUGACUUCUGUGAAUCAUAUUUACUCUUAGUUUUUCCUCACAUGUAGUCUUCGGCUUUUCAUACACCUUGUUUUCUUGCUUGGAUACUUGUGUUGUAAAUUGUAAUCCUAGUAUCUUAAAUAUACUUGAGGAUUUCCCAUUAAGGAAAGGAAAGAAUGAUAAUACAUAAUUAAGCAAAAAAAAUAUUUCGAUCAUUCCACUUAUUUCAUCUAUUAACUAUUGAUACAUAACCUUAAAGUCUAGUACAUUUUUCUUGUAACAGGGAAGGAAAUGCACUGCUUAUCCGGCUGUGAAGCUUAAUGUGGUUUUGUCAGGAGCAACAUGGUUGGAGCCUGACCCCAUAAGCCGCUGCUUCACUGAUGGAAAUUUGGUUACAGGAGCUGCAUGGCCAGGGCACCCUGAGUUCAUUUCUCAGUUGAUGGCACUACUUGGUAUUCAAGUAUCUUUCUAGUAGCCUUUCGUAAUAUAAUAAUGAAUAAAAAUCACCACAUGUGUCUAUUAUUGAAGGGUUCAAAAUAAGUGGAUGUGUAUUGUUACCUUAUUGUAUUUGAAGGACUUGUUAUGUGAUAGACAUGCAAGUCUCUUUUGGCUCUUUUGAGCAAAGUGUCUCUUGGCUGAGGAAUUAUUCAUCCUAAGGACUUGUAUUUUUUAUAUAUUUUUUUUUUAUAUUAACCCUUUGGAUAAGAAUUGUUCCGACCAGAAAUCAAACUCAGAUUCUUUCGAACGAUUCGUCGGGGGCAUUCCUUGUACAAAACUAACUAGCUUACAACAAAUUGCUAUUGUCGGACGUCAGGACCGAGGUUCGAACCUCGGUCACUCCACUUUGUGUGUGUGAAUUUUCAAUGACUUUGUCAUUUCGUCUAUCAACCAAAAAAAAAAUCAUAACAAACAUAUUAAUAAACUACACAAACAUAUACAUAAUUGAUCCAAAGACAUGAAUGUUUCAGACAUUUUCAUUUCGUUAUAUUUGUAAGCUUUACCAUAUUUGUAGGCAUUUUGUUGUUUUAUAUGUGAGUGUUGUAAGUUUAUUUAUAGAUUUAUCUUUUUUUAGUUCAUAGCGAUUUUGAAUUUGUAUUGUUCUAUGAAUUCUACAAAUUGAAUGAAUGUCGUUUUUAGUCUAAAAAAAUUAGUUGUUUUUUCUUGACCAAAAAAAGUAGUUGUUUUAUAAAUUAAUAGCUAAGUGGAAUUUUGUUUUUGAAAACAACUAUUAUUAAUUUUUUUUAUAAUAAAAAAAGUUUUCUAUCAUUUAAAAAUUAUAAUAACUAAAUAUUAUUUAUCAAAAGUAUCAUCGAAAGAAAAUUUAAAUUUUCAUUAUUACCCAUAAUGGUAAAUAUUGAAUUUCUUUAAGAUAAAAUAUAAAAAUUAAUUUAUUACUUUAAAAAACAAUAAUUUUUUUUCCUUAUGAAAUGAUAUUUUCUACAAUACAAAAAAUCAAUAAUCGUUAAUUUAUCGGUUUAAAUUAAACAUAUAUACUGCCUCCGGCCUCAUACACUCAUUCCACCCUUUAUUUUAAGACAAUUAUAAGCAAAAAUUUAUUGAAUAAUUGAUCUAUAUUCUGAAAAGUGAACUUUUGCUUAUAAUUAAAGAUAGAGUAGUGUAAGCAAAAAUUUACCUUUAAAAUUCAUUACAUAACUAAUGUAUAUAACCUAUAUUAUAGGUUAGAUGCAUAAGUAUUUUAAAAAAAAAAUGAAGUUUACUUUGGUCAAAAGAAAAAAGAAUAGAUAUUUUUUUUCAAUUGCCCCUAAAAAAAAACUUUGGUCAAACUCUUGUAAAUUUGAACAGAUCUCUUCGUUCUUCUUCUACCAUCAUUCCAAGCUCUGAGUAGUCUACACAUUCUAACAUCAGUAGCAUAGCAUUGCUCUAUCAGCCAUGGCUCCCAAAAGGGUUCUUCUCCUUUGUGGUGACUUCAUGGAAGACUAUGAAGUAAGCUUCACUUCAUUUCACCUUCUUGACUCACACUCACACUCUCACUCAAUUCACUUCUCAUUUUUUUUUUCUGUUGCAGGCUAUGGUUCCUUUUCAGGCAUUGCAAGCAUUUGGUAUCACCGUCGAUGCUGUUUGUCCCGGAAAAAAAUCUGGUGAUGUCUGCCGCACCGCCGCCCAAUUUCUCUCCGGCUUCCAGGUCUCCCUUCAUUCUUUUNNNNNNNNNNNNNNNNNNNNNNNNNNNNNNNNNNNNNNNNNNNNNNNNNNNNNNNNNNNNNNNNNNNNNNNNNNNNNNNNNNNNNNNNNNNNNNNNNNNNNNNNNNNNNNNNNNNNNNNNNNNNNNNNNNNNNNNNNNNNNNNNNNNNNNNNNNNNNNNNNNNNNNNNNNNCCGCACCGCCGCCCAAUUUCUCUCCGGCUUCCAGGUCUCCCUUCAUUCUUUUCCUGUGUUUGCUUUGCUUGCAUCAUUAUAUAAUGCUUGGCAUCAUUAAAAUAUGUAAUUAGUGUUGUUUAACUUGAUUCAUCAUUAGAUACAACUCAAUAUAUUCCUUGCAAAUCAUAUAUAUAUUCAAGAUAAUUACACAUGAAUCAAAGGUAGAGAGACAACAAGCUACGCUGCUAACCCUUUCUGGAUGACAAAACCAAUCAUCUGAAAAACUACAUCCAUAGACUUAUGAGACACAACAUUUCUAUGCAUGACUGUUUGAAUUGAUUUGCUAAUUAGUUACAUUGUUUGCCAAUUUUCAUGGAUAAAUGAAGUCAAAAGGAUUUCAAUUUUCAACAUCAAGUCAGACCUAAUUUUAUAAUUUUAGGGGAAAAAUACACUAAAAAUGCUCAUCUAGAAAUGUUCAAUCAAUUCCCAUAACUAUAAUUUAGUUCUAAUUUCCAAACAUAGUCUUGGUGAGAUUUUGUGAUAUGUAUUGUAUGGUAAAAUUUUAAUCUUGAAUAAUGGAUUUUUUUGGUGGUUUCAGACUUAUACUGAGAUAGUUGGUCACAAUUUUACACUCAAUGCAACUUUUGAUGAAAUUGAUGAUAAAAACUAUGAUGGGUUGUGGUUGCCGGGAGGAAGGGCGCCUGAGUAUCUUGCUCACAUUCCUGCUGUUGUGGAGCUAGUGGCUAAGUUUGCCAAUUCUGGUAAAGGAAUUGUUUGCCUUUGUCAUUCACAGAUGCUUCUAGCAGCUGCUGGUGUACUUGAAGGUCGUGCGUGCACAGCUUUUUCUCCUGUCAAACCAGUAUUGGUUGCUGCUGGCGCUCAUUGGGUUGAACCUGACUCCUUGGCAACAACUGUGGUGGAUGGUAAUUUCAUUACUGCACCUACUUAUGAAGGGAACCCUGAAGUUCUUCGCCAUUUUGUCAAGGCAUUAGGAGGCAAAAUAAGUGUUUCUGAUAAGAAAAUCCUCUUUAUUUGUGG